rnacentral:rRNA from 1 species
CAGCAGCCGCGGGAAUACGUAGGUGGCAAGCGUUGUCCGGAAUUAUUGGGCGUAAAGGGCUCGCAGGCGGUUUCUUAAGUCUGAUGUGAAAGCCCCCGGCUCAACCGGGGAGGGUCAUUGGAAACUGGGAAACUUGAGUGCAGAAGAGGAGAGUGGAAUUCCACGUGUAGCGGUGAAAUGCGUAGAGAUGCGGAGGAACACCAGUGGCGAAGGCGACUCUCUGGACUGUAGCUGACGCUGAGGAGCGAAAGCGUGGGGAGCGAACAGGAUUAGAUACCCGGGUAGUCCCUGUCUCUUAUAC